rnacentral:rRNA from 1 species
AGGGGAGUGAAAAAGAACCUGAAACCGUGUACGUACAAGCAGUGGGAGCACCCUUUGGGGUGUGACUGCGUACCUUUUGUAUAAUGGGUCAGCGACUUAUAUUCUGUAGCAAGGUUAACCGUAUAGGGGAGCCGGAGGGAAACCGAGUCUUAACCGGGCGUUAAGUUGCAGGGUAUAGACCCGAAACCCGGUGAUCUAGCCAUGGGCAGGUUGAAGGUUGGGUAACACUAACUGGAGGACCGAACCGACUAAUGUUGAAAAAUUAGCGGAUGACCUGUGGCUGGGGGUGAAAGGCCAAUCAAACCGGGAGAUAGCUGGUUCUCCCCGAAAGCUAUUUAGGUAGCGCCUCGUGAAUUCAUCUCCGGGGGUAGAGCACUGUUUCGGCUAGGGGGCCAUCCCGGCUUACCAACCCGAUGCAAACUGCGAAUACCGGAGAAUGUUAUCACGGGAGACACACGGCGGGUGCUAACGUCCGUCGUGAAGAGGGAAACAACCCAGACCGCCAGCUAAGGUCCCAAAGUCAUGGUUAAGUGGGAAACGAUGUGGGAAGGCCCAGACAGCCAGGAUGUUGGCUUAGAAGCAGCCAUCAUUUAAAGAAAGCGUAAUAGCUCACUGGUCGAGUCGGCCUGCGCGGAAGAUGUAACGGGGCUAAACCAUGCACCGAAGCUGCGGCAGCGACACUCAGGUGUUGUUGGGUAGGGGAGCGUUCUGUAAGCCUG